AAAGCUUCGUUCAAUUAAUCACAUAAUUCAAUUUCCAUACACAUAUGAAGUAUAUUGAGUCAAAUGUUAGAGUAUACGUACGUAUUCACAAUUUUACCUAUAUAUUCAACUGGAAUACACAUGACUUCUAAACCUAAAGAAACAAAAGAGAUAUAUAUAUAUAUAUAUAUAUAUAUAUAUAUGGGAGCAUGGGGAAUUUGGUGAUCCUGACUGUAAACCUAAGUCUGCUUGCCUUUACCGUGCUAGCAUCCAUGUGUCCGGUCCAAGAAUGCAAAAAUCCACCUGAAAAAGUGAUGUUUUCUGACUAUGCGAACGCAUAUUUACUCAUGAUUGCGUCUAUGUGUAUAUGUAGGUGUAUGGGGAAAUUGACAAAGUUUAUAAUUAUUAAAUACAAGUUGCUUGUGGUUGCAGAACUAGAAGGGAACAAAGGAAAAUGAAGGUCUAAUCAAACUUGUCAUUGUGUAAAUUAUUUUCUAAAAUAAAAUAAGACUGAUAUAUCAAAAGCCUAUAACCAAAUGCUUUCAAAAUUUUAGGCAAAAAGAUAACAAGACGAACAAACAUUACAUCUAUCUAUAUAUAUAUAUAUAAAAAUGUUUGCCUCCCUCCUGUUGUGACACGUCAGCGUCAGGUCACAAAGUCGGAAGCUACCGUGCUGACACGUGUCCCCUUAAGACGGUACGCUGCGUUUCAUUAAUAGGACUAUGCACUUCGGUUGGGCUAUUCUUCUUUCACGGCUUCAUGUAUUUCUUUUUUCUGGACUUUAUUUUUAAUUCAAACUCCUGUGCAAUUUGGUUGGACUUUUGACGUAUUGGGCCUUUAGUUAUUUUCGCACAGAAUGAAGCCGCUUUCUGAUUAGGGUUGUUAACCCCGUGUUCUUAUUCUUUGCAAGAUAUCGUUUUCAAAAUUACUAAUCAUAAUAUUUUCAGAACCUCGACUCUCUCUUCUCUUCAAGUUUUCCAUUUUCUACUUUUAUGAAAAACAUCAUAUUAACGCUAAAACAUUAGUUAAAUUUAUGGUUUUAUAUACAGAGUCCCUGACAAAUAUUUACUAUGUUUCAGAGGUUUAAGAUAUCCAUAGAAUAUAUUAUACUACCAUAUGCAUAUAGCAAAGAAAAUUUUAAAAAAUCAAAUAAAUCAAGACAACUAAUGCGAAUCACAGCCUGAUAAAAUAAAAACCAACCAGUAAAAAAGUAGUCUAAAAUCAUUACAAACACAUAAAUAUAAUAGUAAUAGUUUUAAAAAAAAUAAAGAAAUUGUCAAUCCAUAUUAUUAAAUAACAAAAAUUCGUUCACAUAGUUCCAUGGGAAACGAAAUUGGCUUAAACUGAAUUAAAAAAAAACUCUAGGAAUUUUUUACCAAAAUUAUUCAUGUCGAUCAUAUAAAAAUAAAUUGUAUAAAAUAUAUUAUUAUUAACAUAAUAAAAUAUACCACUAUAUUAUACUCCCUUUGUUCCUUAUAGAUCCAUUUUUAGAAGAAAAAAUUUUGUUUUAAAAAGAUACAUUUUUUACAUUUUCAAAACAUUAAUUAACGAAAAAUUGUACUUUUCAAAAAAUACAAUUAUGUUUAAUAAAAUCUCAUUGGUUAAAAGUUAUUGGGAAUAGUUGAUUAAGAAAAACAAUGUAUUGAAAAAUACAAUUUUAAAUGUUUUCUUAAGAAAUGUGAAAAAACUAUAACAUGAAUCUUUUAAGAACGGAAGGAGUACUAAAUCAGUGUUUUUGGCUCAUUUGGUUUGAUCGGUUUCAUACACCAAACCGUAUACAUUUACCGUGAUCUCUUCAAUAGAACAUUUACCUUCAGAACCAAACAAUAAUAUUUGUUUUAAAAAUGUCCUAAUUAUUUUGGAUGUUGAUAUGGUUUAUUUGAUAAUUUUAAAAAUAUGUAAAUCUUUAAACAGUAAUCUGUUAUGUUUUAAGUUGAUAAAAACGAUAGAUUAAAUUUAUUUUUCAUAAUUUAAAACAAUAGAUUUAAAAGAGAUUGUAAAAUAUAAAAUAUAUAUUAACAAUAUACAACCGAAAAAACUUAUUUGUUGAAUAUCAACCACAAUUCUGAAUACUAUUAGUAUUAAAAAUCUAAAAUAUUGACAUAAUAAAAAUGAUUUUUUGUUAGUUAGAUAAACAUAUGAUUUUUAAUAAAAAUAACAAAACUAAAUAAUAAAAAUAUUUUAAAAUUACUUUCAAACUGAGAAUAAAUUAAAUAUUAGUUUCUUUUAACUUCCCGCCCGUAGGGCGGACCUACCCUAGUAUGCCAUAUAACAUUGUUUUAUUUUACUUCUUUUUGAUUAAAAGCGCAGGAAUUUUGAAUUUAUAAAAGUUAUAGAUGUUCGUUAGAAAUGCGGAGUUUUAAAACAAAAUUCUUAUAGAGUUUAAAUAAAAGCGCGGGAAUUUGAAACCAUAAAAUUUAGACAUUUUAAUUAAAAAUGGCAAAGUGUAUAAAAGGCAUAUUUAUUUUCUCUUCUUUACAUUAAACCGUUAUUUUUUGUAACUAAAAACAACUUUACCGGUAAAACAAAAAUACUGCAUGAUGAAUGGAUUGUCUGUUUCUGCAUCUUUUGAUCUGCGAAAAUAUCAUGGUUUUCUUACUACAUGUUAAUUAUUUUGAGAUUGUUUGUUUGUAUUUGAGUUUUGAUUUCAUGCGUAACAGAAGAUAGAAUGGGAGCUUGCGAUCUUCUUUUUUUUUUGGUGAAAAAUGUUAAGAAAACAAAUAAAAAAAUGAGAGAGACAUGGAGCAUAUGGAAUUCAGUGAUCAUGACAAUGAUACUUAUGGUGGUGAUGGUUUUAAGACUGCUAACCGUUACAAUGGUAGCAUCCAUGUAUCUGGGAGCUUGCGGUCUUCUUCGUGAAUCAUUGCAUAUGUUCUUCCCAUGUCUCUUCAGAAUCUGAAAAACUUUGGAUCCGCCAGUGUUUCUCCCAAGUGCAGAUACACAUCUUUGAAUUGGUCUUAUACGUUUUUGUUUUGUAAAUGAAGGUGAAAGUGUUAGAAAUAUUACAUGUAUGAAAGUAUAUGAAUGAAUAUUUCUUACCAUGAUGUAGUCUUAUGUUAAUCUAUUUGUUAUUGAGAUUGUUAAACCCUAAUGACAUUUGGUAACCAAUAAAAUUGGUAAAUAAAGGAGUUUAUUUCCUAAUGUUUUAACUAAAGCAUAAGUGGCAAAUGUUCUAGAAGAGAAGAGUGACUUGAAGGAAAAGUCUAAUGGAAGAUGCUUAAGAGAACAAGUUCAAUGUAUGAACCUAAUGUUCUAGAACAAUUCACACUUGUCUUCUCCUAAUGAAAUGAGUCACCUUAAGUAAAACAUUUGUCACUUACUCAACUUUGAUGGAUGGUUGAGAUUAAAGGAUAAAACUUGCCAAAGGAGAAAGAAAGUCUUGGUGAGAAAGUAAUCAAAACUUGAUGAGGAAGCUAUGUCCCUCUCUCCACCUAUAAAUAUAUGUUUUUACUCCAUCCUAAAGCAUCAUGAAGAAAAUCUAAAGAGAAACACAUAAAGAAAGAUUGUAGGCAAGGGGAUAGAAGAUCUAACUCCAACUUAAAGAUCAAAAGAUCAUCUUAUGGAGAGAAGCCCAAAAAAAUGAGAGGGACAUGGAGAGCAUAUGGAAUUCGGUGAUCAUGACAAUGAUACCAUUGGUGAUGGUUUUAAGACUGCUAACCGUUACAAUGGUAGCAUCCAUGUAUCUGGAACUGGCAAAGAAGACAACUAUCUACUUAAAACCUUCAAACUGAUGCUCUCUAACUAUGUGUAUACCAACAUUUACUCUUGAUUGGGUCUUGUAUAUUUAUGUUUAUGGCUCUGUAAAUAGGGAAAUUGAUAAAGUUUGUAAUUUUUAAAUACAAAUUGCUUGGGGUUACUGAGCCAGAGGGAUUAAAGACAAUGAAGAUGUAUCAAGGCCUCUUAUCAUGUAAACUCUUUUCUAGAAAAAUAAAAUAAGAUCAAAAGCCUAUAGCCAAAUGCUUACCAAAGUUUACGCAAAAAGAUAAUCAGAUAAACAAAUAUUAUAUAUGCCACAUAUCAUUGUCUUAUUUUACUUGUUUUUGGUUAAAAACACAGGAAUUAUGAAGUUAUAAAAGUUAUAAAUGCUAACUAGAAAUGCGAGAAUUUUGAAACCAUAAAAUUUAUAGAGUUAAAAAAGAAUGUGAAAAAAUUGAAACCAUAAAAUUUAUAGUUUAAAUAAACGGGAUAAUUUUUGAAAUUAUAAACUUUAUACAUUUUAAUUAAAUAUGACACAGUGUCGAAGCUAUAAAAGUUAUAUUUUUUUCCUUCUUAAAAAUUAAACAAUUAUUUCACUAAAUGAAAACUACUCUUUAUUUAUUUCUUGUUGUUAGAACUAUUUACUAAAUCCAUAUAUGUAACUACAUUUUUCUAAUUUCUUUUACAGCUACCCUUAAAUGAUUAUUUUUAUUGUUAAAAUGUAUAAAAUAAAAAAAAGAAAAAAACAUAGGAAAAAUAAAUAUAAAAAUAUUUUUUUUUUAAUUUUGAAUAUGAAAUUACCCAGAAAUAUCUUUACAACUUGCAUAGUUUUCUUUAUUCAACUAAUUACACAUAAUUCUGUUUCCAUAAAGAUAUAAUUAUAUUGAGUCAACUGUGAUAAAUGGACAGACAAAUGAGUUUCCAUAAACAAUAUACAUAUUUACAAUUUCACCUAUAUAACUUCUAUUGUAAUACACACAACUUCCAAAAAACCCAAAGAAAAGAGAGAAAGAGACAUGGAGAGCAUAUGGAGUUUGGUGAUCAUGAUGAUGAUAAUUAUGGUGAUGGUGGUUUUAACACUAGUGCUUACCAUUACAAUGGAUGUAUCCAUGUAUCUGGAACUGGGCAAAGAAAGCAAAUAUCUAAUUGAAACCUUCAAAGUGACGUUCUCUAACUAUGUGUACCCACAUCUACUCUUGAUUGGGUCUAUGUGUAUAUUUAUGUUUAUGGCUCUGUAUAUAGGGAAAUUGAUAAAGUUUGUAAUUUUUAAAUACAAAUUGCUUGGGGUUACGGAGGAGCCGGAGGGAUUAAAGGCAAAUGAAGGUGUAUCAGAGCCUCUCCUCAUGUAAUCCUUUUCUAGAAAAAAAAUAAAAAAAAAUAAAACUGAUAUAUCAAAAGUCUAUAACAAAAUGCUUUCAAAAUUUUAUGGAGAAAGAUAAUCAGAUGAACAAACAUUAUCUGCCAUACAUCAUUGUUUUAUUUUACUUUUUUUCGGUUAAAACACGGAAAUUUUGAAGUUAUGAAAGUUAUAAAUAUUGGUUAGAAACACAUGAAUUUGUAAACCAUAAGAUUUAUAAAAUUUAAAUAAAACACGGGAAAUUUUGAAACCAUAAGAUUUAUAGAGCUUAAAUAAAACGCGGGAAAUUUUGAAACCAUAAAAUUUAUAUAUUUUAUGUACAAAUGACAAAGUGUCUAAGCUAUAAAAGUACAUUUUUUCUUUCAAAUUAAACAACUAUUUCAAAUAAUAAAAAACAAUUUAACCGAUAGAAAAUAAUAUUGCAUGAAACAAUUUUACAGGUGUAUUGAGCUAAUUCACCCUUAUUAUAAAGCGCUUAUGAAAAAUAUGAGUUUUACAUAUAUUACAAACCAACAAAUAAAACCUCCUGAAAGAUCUUACUAGGACGUGGCAUGAGAGAGUAUCAACAAGGUUCUUUUUGGUGAACAAAUCUGCAAAAGUAUCAUGGGGUUUCUUGCUACAUUUAAUUUAUUUUGAGGAAGGGAUCUACUCUAUUAAUUUAGAGUCCUAAAUUUUAUCUACUUAAAAAUGUUGUCACUUAAAUUUGAAAUGGUCCAACAAAACAUGUAACAGUAUUUAGAACAUCAAUACUAUUAUAAUAAGAUAAUCCCUAUUUAUUAGUCUUACUUCAUUGUAAUAUAUUAAUAAAUUGCUACAGAUUUUUCUAACAAAAUUUUAUCCUCCACUGAAAGUAUUUUCGUCCAACUUAAUUUGGUUAUGUUACAUACUUACGAGAUCCACUAAUAUUAAUGGACAAAAUAUGUUUGUCAUAUACAAAAACAUAAUCUUAUAGACUCCAUUUGAUGUUUAUAGAUUACAAUUAUUGCUCCAUCAUUAUAAUAUAAGUUCUAAUUCCUAUUACAAUAACAUGAGAUCUGAGACAUGAAAAAUAUAUCAUCUUCAAAUAUUAUUUCUACACAUCAUGGAAAAAAAACUAUUGUUUCAAUGAGGGUUUCAAAAAUCAUGUAUAGGAAAAUGUGUUUUCUUGCAGACAUUUUUUUAACAACAAACGACUGUUCAAUUAUUCAAACUAGUGAUGGUCUGUAUAACUAAACUGGAAUACAACAACUAAUGUAAAACAAUUCUCUAUAAAAAGACUGUGCAGAUCAAGCUAAAUAACCGACAAUUCCAUUGCGAGCUCUUGGGAUAUAAGAAUCUUGAAAUCCCGGAAGCAAAUCUGGAGAGUCUUGGUGGCAUUUUAGAAGCUUAAUUUUCUCUAUUAAAAGAGAAUUACAAUUUCUAUCUACCAAUUACAUAUAUUUUAUUAUUUAUAUUAAUCUAUUAAAUAUAAAGCAUUUCUGAAAGUCUUAAUAAUUAUAAAGAUAUUAAUAACCAAUCAAUUUUAACUGUAAAUGUAAACUGUUCUAUUAGUUAUAACAAAACCUUUUGAGACAAAUCUCACACAAUGUUACUAAAAUUUUUAAGUAUAUUUUCUAAAAUUAAUGCACAUUGAUUAAUUUUUUAAUUAGUAAUAUAAUAAUAUUAUAAAUUAAUGUUAAAUAAAAUUAUGCUGUUUUAUUAAAAAAAAUAUAACUACACUCUAUAUUAUAUUAAAAUAGAAGUAAACUAUAAUUGCAAGGCAUCAUCAACACAGUCGGAAAUCUAUUGAUCAACUACGAAGACUCAUAGACAAGGCAGUAAGAAAUCGAAUCAGUUCACUCAGAUAUAAACCAGACCACAAACUGGAGGGAUUACUAAGAAGAUGGUUCCAAGUCACACUUUAGUGUCUGUUCAGCAUUGAUGCUAUUCUUUUUUACAGCAUUGAGCAUUUGUAAAUAACAUUCUUUUCUAUAGAUCAAUAAAUUUGAAAUUUCAUCAAAACAAAAUUAAGAAUUAGAUAUGAAAAUUGUAUUAAAUUGGUAAAUUACCAUAUUUUUAAAAAUCACUUUCAUUUAAUUAAAUAAAAAUAUCAUUUACCAAUUAAAGGAUUAAAAUUUAUAAAUUAAGUAAUAUUUUAUACAAAACAAUUGUUUAACAUAUGUUAAACUUUUAUAUCUACAACUAUAUAUUAUCUAAUUAAUUUUGAAAAUAAAAAAAAUAUAUUAUCUAAAAGUAAUUAUAUACAAAAUAUAAUAUUAUGUAACUAACCUUUAAUUUAAGUGUUAUUUACAAAAUAUGCUAUUUGAUAACUUUGAAAUUUUAAUAAUUCAUUAAAGAUAAUAAUGAUUAAUCAAUUUUAACUUAAAAUUAAAAUUUUAAUAUAUAUUAUAAAAUAUGUAGAGAAAAAUAUAAAAAUCCUUAUCAAUAAUUUCUGAUUUUUAAUAAUAUAAUUCAUUACUUUACUAACAAAAAAAAUCAAAAGUCAUAUAAUUUCCAAGCUCAAAAAAGUUAUGUAUUAAUUUUCAAAUUUCUCUUGACCAAAUAUAAAAUUUUGAAAAUAAAAAUAUCAAACUCAAAUAAUAAUAUUCAAAAUUUUACAAAAUAUAAAAUAAUAGAUGAUAAAGUAUAUAUUUUUUAAUUGCAGCACGAUAAAAAUAAUGUUGUAAAAAUUAUAGUGGCAUAAUAUUUUAAAACUGACGUUAAUAACAAAAACAAUUAAUAGCAUAACAUUCAAAAUAUCAUAUAUUGGUAAAAUACACUAAAAUAAUGUGAAAGAUGAUCUAUACAUAAAAUCUAAUAAAAUAAUAUGGUUAAAUUACUUAAACUGAAAAUUGUAUUUACUUAUAAAUCAUACAAUGUACUAAAAUAAUAGAUGCUAAAGUAUAUUUUUAAAUACAACAUGGAAUAAAUUAUUCUAAACAAAUAUCAGUUAUAUAGUGUAGCUAAAUAAACUUUCAAAUUUUAUUCAAACUGUAGAAAUUUUAAAAAAAUAUUCUCAAAGAGAUUUUCUAUUCUGUUAUUUCAUAUUAUGAAUUUAUUGUACCGAACUCAAAAAUAUAUUAGUAUGUAAUAAAAAUUAAUAACAAAGUAAAAUGUAUAAAACAAAUCAUUAUAUAUUAAUAAUGUCAAAUAAGAAA